UCACGACUUUUAUUUGAACUU
ensembl:piRNA 21ur-11664 ncRNA